GUUAGGAAUAUUGGACAAUGGACGCAAGUCUGAUCCAGCCAUGCCGCGUGAGUGAUGAAGGCCUUCGGGUUGUAAAGCUCUUUAGCCGAUGAUUAUAAUGACUGUAGUCGGAAAAUAAGCCCCGGCUAACUUCGUGCCAGCAGCCGCGGUAAUACGAAGGGGGCGAGCGUUAUUCGGAAUCACUGGGCGUAAAGCGUGCGUAGGCGGUUUUGUAAGUUGGGAGUGAAAGCCCAGGGCUCAACCCUGGAAUUGCUCUCAAAACUACAAGACUUGAAUUCGGGAGAGGAUAGCGGAAUUGUCAGUGUAGCAGUGAAAUGCGUAGAUAUUGACAGGAACACCAGUGGCGUAAGCGGCUAUCUGGACCGACAUUGACGCUGAGGCACGAAAGCGUGGGGAUCAAACAGGAUUAGAAACCCCUGUAGUCC
rnacentral:rRNA from 1 species